rnacentral:rRNA from 2 species
GGGAAGUGGCGCGUGCCUAUACAUGCAGUCGAACGAACUCUGGUAUUGAUUGGUGCUUGCAUCAUGAUUUACAUUUGAGUGAGUGGCGAACUGGUGAGUAACACGUGGGAAACCUGCCCAGAAGCGGGGGAUAACACCUGGAAACAGAUGCUAAUACCGCAUAACAACUUGGACCGCAUGGUCCGAGCUUGAAAGAUGGCUUCGGCUAUCACUUUUGGAUGGUCCCGCGGCGUAUUAGCUAGAUGGUGGGGUAACGGCUCACCAUGGCAAUGAUACGUAGCCGACCUGAGAGGGUAAUCGGCCACAUUGGGACUGAGACACGGCCCAAACUCCUACGGGAGGCAGCAGUAGGGAAUCUUCCACAAUGGACGAAAGUCUGAUGGAGCAACGCCGCGUGAGUGAAGAAGGGUUUCGGCUCGUAAAACUCUGUUGUUAAAGAAGAACAUAUCUGAGAGUAACUGUUCAGGUAUUGACGGUAUUUAACCAGAAAGCCACGGCUAACUACGUGCCAGCAGCCGCGGUAAUACGUAGGUGGCAAGCGUUGUCCGGAUUUAUUGGGCGUAAAGCGAGCGCAGGCGGUUUUUUAAGUCUGAUGUGAAAGCCUUCGGCUCAACCGAAGAAGUGCAUCGGAAACUGGGAAACUUGAGUGCAGAAGAGGACAGUGGAACUCCAUGUGUAGCGGUGAAAUGCGUAGAUAUAUGGAAGAACACCAGUGGCGAAGGCGGCUGUCUGGUCUGUAACUGACGCUGAGGCUCGAAAGUAUGGGUAGCAAACAGGAUUAGAUACCCUGGUAGUCCAUACCGUAAACGAUGAAUGCUAAGUGUUGGAGGGUUUCCGCCCUUCAGUGCUGCAGCUAACGCAUUAAGCAUUCCGCCUGGGGAGUACGGCCGCAAGGCUGAAACUCAAAGGAAUUGACGGGGGCCCGCACAAGCGGUGGAGCAUGUGGUUUAAUUCGAAGCUACGCGAAGAACCUUACCAGGUCUUGACAUACUAUGCAAAUCUAAGAAGAUUAGACGUUCCCUUCGGGGACAUGGAUACAGGUGGGGGCAGGGUUGUCGUCAGCUCGUGUCCUGAGAAGUUGGGGUUAAGUCCCGCAACGAGCGCAACCCUUAUAAUCAGUUGCCAGCAUUAAAUUGGGCACUCUGGUGGAGACUGCCGGUGAAAACCCGAGGAAGAGGGGGGAGGUGAGAAUAAAAAAAA